GAAGACUACACAUUUAUAAUCUUCUCUGUCAGUACCCUGUCGGAACUUGACAUUGAUGGUUCCUAAUGGCAAGAGAGAAAUCUACUUAGGCUGCCUUUUUUACAGAAAUCGGUAAAGGCUAGAACUAUGUAUUUGUCAUAUUCAGGGUGGUUUUGUCAAUUCUUCUGGAAUAUUCAUACUUUGUCCUAAGUACAGAUUUUUUAAUAUAUCAAUGUUGC